rnacentral:misc_RNA from 1 species
CGUCGAGCUAAACUUUCUUUGAAAAAAUCAGACGCAGAAAAGAGCCUAGUUGGGUGGUGGUCAAUUAGAGAGAGAGUGACGAAAAAUGGUACUGCAGUGUUGGAGUUACGCUUCUUAUCCAAAAUCGACUGCGCUGUUCUCUCAUAACUUUUUGUUAUCUCUUUCAGAUUCCAAACCCCACCACCAAUCUUGCAAUUACAAUGCCAAUUAUAAGUUCAGUCUUCCUCUUCUUGGAAUGCCCAGCAAGUCAUGUAAGACAAGCACCAGUAGUAAAUUCAGUUGCUUCCUCAACGUGGGUCUUGAGGAUAUUGCUGGAAUCGCUCAAAACAAGGUAUUGAUUGCAGCUGGUGUGUCAGCAGCCAUUGGUCAGCUCUCCAAGCCAUUCACUUCUGUACUUCUAUAUGGCAAAGACUUUGAUUUCAAAGCUGCGUUUCGGGCCGGUGGAUUCCCUUCCACCCAUUCUUCUGUAUGUUUUUGUCCGUUUCCUUUUUACUAUAUACAUGUAUACAUUUUUUUAAAUUUUGUAGCUGCUUACUGUCAAUUGAUUGUUUUCACAAAGGCUGUUGUUUCUACUGCUACAUGUCUUGCUCUCGAAAGGUAAUCUGCUCUUACUAUUUUAUUUUGACCUUUAUGUUUUAAAUCAAUUUGACUGUUUUUUUAUUAUAAGCUGUAUGAAUCAAUAAGCUUUUACGUGUUAAUCGUUCCAUUAUUUUAUUGCAGGGGCUUCUCUGAUUCAAUUUUUGGCCUAUCAGUGGUUUAUGCUGGACUUGUCAUGUAUGACUCUCAGAUCCACCAUUGCUUGUUUCCUUACUAACGUAAUCGCAGUUCCAUAUGGGGGCAUUUAAUUUUCUAUGUUAGACAUGACUGGACAAUCUUAAUCAACCCUCUUAAUCCAUUUUUCCUAUGAAGUACAGAUUACGAAAAGCCCAGGGGGUGAGAAGAGAAGUUGGAAAUCAUGCCAAAGUACUAAACAAGCAGCUAUCCAAUACCCAAGUCAAGUCGAUGGCCUCCACGGGUAGAGAUGAUAUGAUUGAUUCUCAACAGGGAAUUUCAUCCACAUUAGGGGAAGACCUCAGUCCUCUAUUAUCGAAGGAGGGAAGAAGACCUUUUGUGCAAAAAUCGACAAAUGCACCUUUGUUAGUUAAUUCAGAAAAUAAAAAUAGACAAGCUAGUCAGGUGCUGGUAUCUUCAAGCAUAGCAUCUGAUGAAGAAGAAACCGAAAAACCUUUGAAUAGUUCAUCUCUGUUGAAAGAAUCGAUUGGCCACACAGAGGUUGAAGUCAUAGCAGGUGCAUUGCUAGGUUUCUGUGUAAGUUUGGCAGUGCAUACAAUUGUGUGAUUUUUUGUUUCAAUUACUCCUGCGGCAGCAGAUGGGUUUGAGUGGUUCUUCUUUAGAUUGAACCCUACAUCAGCACCCAAAUCUUACUGCUCCUUAACACUGUAUUCAUGCCCAGGUGGGCAGUUCCAUUUUUCUAACUGUUUUAGGUUAAAAUUUGAUGGACUCCAAACAUUAUGGAUGUUGUAUUAUAAAAUUAUCUUUACAAUCUACUUAAGUAUGUGAUUAAUUGUAAACUUCGUAUGGUAUGUUCCCAUGAUGUCUUUGUAGUUAAGCUAUGAUUGGCCACCGGAUAUGAAUUAUGUUGCACAACGCGUAUUAAAUUAUUCAUAGAGCUUUGCAUAGGCUUAUAAUGUUUUGUUUUUUUUCCGCUGUCAAGGGUGAGCAAAAUUCAAUUCAGUUCAUAUAAAAAAAAAAAAAUUAACUGAAUUCAUUUAAUUUAGAAAUUUAAUUUAUUUUUUAA